CUACGGGGUGCAGCAGUAGGGAAUAUUGCGCAAUGGACGAAAGUCUGACGCAGCAACUCCGCGUGAGGGAUGAAUGUCUUCGGAUUGUAAACCUCUGUUGAUAGGGAAGAAAUGUUGUGUGACUAAUAUGCACAUGAUUUGACGGUACCUGUUUAGAAAGCUCCGGCUAACUACGUGCCAGCAGCCGCGGUAAUACGUAGGGAGCUAGCGUUGUUCGGAAUUACUGGGCAUAAAGAGAACGUAGGCGGAUUAGUAAGUUAGGAGUUUAAUGUAUCGGCUCAACCGGUAUUUAGCUUUUAUACUGUUAAUCUUGAGUGUGUUAGAGGAAGGCGGAAUUCCGAGUGUAGCGGUGGAAUGCGUAGAUAUUCGGAAGAACACCAGUGGCGAAGGCGGCCUUCUGGGACAUAACUGACGCUGAGGUUCUAAAGCCAGGGGAGCGAAGAGGAUUAGAUACCCGUGUAGUC
rnacentral:rRNA from 1 species